CAGUCGCCGCGGUAAUACGAAGGGGGCUAGCGUUGCUCGGAAUUACUGGGCGUAAAGGGAGCGUAGGCGGACAUUUAAGUCAGGGGUGAAAUCCCAGAGCUCAACUCUGGAACUGCCUUUGAUACUGGGUGUCUUGAGUGUGAUAGAGGUAUGUGGAACUCCGAGUGUAGAGGUGAAAUUCGUAGAUAUUCGGAAGAACACCAGUGGCGAAGGCGACAUACUGGAUCAUUACUGACGCUGAGGCUCGAAAGCGUGGGGAGCAAACAGGAUUAGAGACCCGUGUAGUCCCUGUCUCUUAUAU
rnacentral:rRNA from 1 species